CUCUUUCUUCUCGUGGCGUUUUUAUCUCGGCUUUGGAUGCACAAAUCCCGAUUAUUUUGUUCCCGGAGUCAGCGGGAUGAUCAAGGGGUUUGCAGCCUCCUGAAUUAUUCAGGAUAUUAGAGCUCCUCACUAAAUAUUUUUGCUUCCAGCCUGUCAGGGAGAAGAUCACAGGAAUAUUUUGUUCAUUCCAAGAUCUCUCUCUGACGGGCAAAGCGCUGCCAUCGUUUCCAAAGGUGCUCAUUAAGGGAAGGGCUCGUCAUUAAUUAGAGCAGGUGCAAUGUCAUUGUCACCCCCAGUGUGGCUUUGGGGACACGGGGCUGGCUGGGAAUCUGGAUGUCCUUGGCUGGGGACUCUUGGCUCAGCUGUCCCUCAUUCCUGGGAGGGAUGGAAUCCCAAAAUCCCAGAAUAGGUGGGGCUGGAGGCGGCCUCUGCCCAGGCAGGGUCACCCAGGGCAGGUGACACAGGGACACAUCCAGGUGGGUUUGAGAGAGGGGAACAAUGGCACAUUCCUGGUGGGACAAGGGAAUGUCCCUGGUGGGAGAUUUGGUGGAACAAAGACAUGUCCAUGGUAGGACAUUGGAAUGUUCCUGGUGGGCAAGGGAAUGUCCCUUGGUGGGAUUUGGUGGGACACUGGAAUGUCCCUGGUGGGAUUUGGUGGCACAAUGGAAUGUCCUUGGUGGGACAAUGACAUGUCCCUGGUGAGACAACGGAAUGUUCCUGGUGGGACACUGGAAUGUCCUUAGUGGGACACUGGAAUGCCCCUGGUGGGAUUUGGUGGGACAAUGGAAUGUCCUUGGUGGGACACUGGAUUCCUGGUGGGAUUUGGUGGGACAAUGGAAUGUCCUCGGUGGGACAAUGACUUGUCCCUGGUGAGACAAGGCCAUGUUCCUGGUGGGACACUGGAGUGUCCCUGGUGGGAUUUGGUGGGACAAUGGAAUGUCCUUGGUGGGACACUGGAUUCCUGGUGGGAUUUGGUGGGACAAUGGAAUGUCCUCGGUGGGACAAUGACUUGUCCCUGGUGAGACAAGGCCAUGUUCCUGGUGGGACACUGGAGUGUCCCUGGUGGGAUUUGGUGGGACAAUGGAAUGUCCUUGGUGGGACACUGGAUUCCUGGUGGGAUUUGGUGGGACAAUGGAAUGUCCUCGGUGGGACAAUGACUUGUCCCUGGUGAGACAAGGCCAUGUUCCUGGUGGGACACUGGAGUGUCCC
rnacentral:lncRNA from 1 species